UACAGAGGUCUCGAACGUUGUUCGGAUUCAUUGGGCGUAAAGGGCGCGUAGGCGGCGGGGUAAGUCUGGUGUGAAAUCUCGGAGCUCAACUCCGAAACUGCACUGGAUACUGCUCUGCUAGAGGGCUGGAGAGGAGAUCGGAAUUCACGGUGUAGCAGUGAAAUGCGUAGAUAUCGUAAGGAAGACCAGUGGCGAAGGCGGGUCUCUGGACAGUUCCUGACGCUGAGGCACGAAGGUCAGGGGAGCAAACGGG
rnacentral:rRNA from 1 species